AGAGGGAAACGGCCCCGAGCCAGAAGACCCCCCACCAGUCCAGCCCCGACCCCACCAUGGGCCCCCGUGCCAGUGUGGUUGGUGGUUGUUUGUGCUCUCGGAGCAGGUCCUGCAGACACCAGAGUUGCAGACAGCAGAGUCACCCAGACCCCUAGAUACCGACUGGUCCAAAAGUGGGAAAAUGUGACUCUGAGCUGUGAACAGAAAAUGGACCAUGAGGCCACAUACUGGUACCAGCAGGACCCAGGACUGGGGCUACAGCUGAUCCAUUUCUCCAGGAACACUGAUUUUACUGAGCCAAGAGACAACCCACAGGGCUAUUUGGUCUCUCAGAAGAUGAAGGCGCAUUUCCCCCUGACCCUGUGGUCUGCAGGCAUGAUCCAAUCAUCGCUGUAUUUUUGCAUGAGCAGUGUAACCACAGCACUCAGAUCUCGGCACACAGAUUUCAGAACAAAGCACAGCCCCUCUGCCCUCUGCACAAACCUCCUCUCUGCCAGGCCCAGAAAGAAGAAAACAGGGAAAGGGCCGGAGGCACAGAUACCUGGCUCAACCUCAGACUUGCUGGACAAAGGCUGGACAUCCUGGUCCCUGGGUCCAGCUGGAUGGCAGGACAGGGGCAGAGACACAGUCAUACUUGACUGACAGCAAUAACAACAACCAACGCAAGAAUAUGAAGGAUGACAAUAACAACAUCCAUGAAGAUAACAUCUGCCCUUUAUGGGCAUGAUUGACCCAUCCCCCAAUCAUGGGACCUGGGAAACCACCAGCAGUCCCAUCCUUGUCAGCCUCCCACCCUCUCCCUGAAAGGGAACUUUCUCCUCUCUUCUCCUCCCUUUCCCUUGCUGCCAUCUCUGUCCUGACUCUCUCUCCAAAAAUAAUACUAAUAAUAAUAAUGCUAUUAAUUCA